ensembl:lncRNA
AGAGAGAUAAAUAUCCAUGUAUAAAAAUAGAUAGAAAACUUUGUUUAGGUAAUUUAAAAUUGUUAAUGCACAGUUCUCCAGGAGUGAGAAAAUCAAUCAUUGCACUCUAUACCGUUUUAAGACAUACGUAAAAUAUUCCCAUUUGUAUCUAUUGUUUCUUUCCUACUUUUUUUUAUUUGGACACUUACAUAACAGUGCACAGCACGAUGCUGUGUAACAUGGGAAUUAACUGUGUUUUCAUUUGAUAUCAUAGUGCUUUUAAACCUUGUGCUCUACUCCUUCCUGUUACUGAAUGAAAUAAGAACACAUUCUAAUAAGGGUUUGUGGCAGACAUUGCCGAGUGACUUUCUUAGUCACUCCCUUCUCACUCCACUGGCUGAGUCUGGUUAUCCAUUUAUCCUCAAAAGGACGUAAGAUAAAUCCUGAUUAGUUUUCACCAAUGACACUCCCCUUCUCGUUGCCAGCAGUUGGUUUACAGUGGUCACAGGGCCCAAUUCUAGACAUAAAACAAACGAUAUACCUGACAGACCAUUUCCAGAAAAGGUUUUCUCAAACGCCCAAGAAUUCAAGCAAAGGGAAGUGGAAUAUUUUGGUGAACAGUAACUUGUCUGGAUGUGGUGCCUGGUAACCGUCUUUCAACAAUGGAUUAUAGUUUCAUCAUGGCCUGAGCGGAAAGACCGAAAGACCCUGAGACCUGGAUGAUGUCUUUGAGCCACUAAACCAACCAGCCUUGUAGCCACUCCUCCUUUGGACUGUUUCUUUUGUGAGAGACUAAACUUAUUUUUAAGCCAGUUGAUUUAGGAUGCUCUGUUACUAAUAACUGAAGACAUUCUAAUUGGUACAGACUUAAACCUUUAUAGGAGUUACACAGUUCAGAAGUGGACUUUCGGUAAGUCAUUUAUUUUAAGCUGUUGAUAUAGAGAUUUAUUUUCUGUAAAUUUUGACGUAAAUAGUUUGAGCAUUAGAAAUCAAGUUGAAACAAUUAAAUGUAUGCUUCCUUGAACUGUCAUAUCGUUGACUUGCAAAAUUCACCUUUGGAACGUGACACAAUGUUAGGCAUACCUCCUUUUUUCUAAUACAUGGGAUAAAUUUUGUUUGAGAGAAUUUAAUUUAUGUGAUUCAUCUAUCACUGCUACAGUGUUAGCUGACAACAUAUAGUAUGAGGUAAGGAUCUAAUUUUGUUUUCUCUCACAUGAUGACUUGAUAGCUGAUCAUCUGAUUUAUUUACUGCUUUACCACUGAGCUGAAAUGCCAUGUUUUUCAUUUAUUAAAAACACACAUGGCUCCUGUUUUUGUUACCCAGCACUUUUUGUCCAUAUUCUUCAAGAUGAUUGUGAGUAUGGUACAUAACAGGAAUUACAUCUGGUAAGUUGUAUAGUUUUAUGUAGGAACUCUAUAUUCAUAGCAUAUUUGUAGAAAUGAUACCUACAGAGGUUUCCCACACUGGCGUGUCGUUACACCUUAAUUGUACAAUAUGCAUUUUCAGUAAAACAUUUGAAA